rnacentral:rRNA from 1 species
AUUGAACGCUGGCGGCAGGCCUAACACAUGCAAGUCGAGCGGAUGAAGGGAGCUUGCUCCUGGAUUCAGCGGCGGACGGGUGAGUAAUGCCUAGGAAUCUGCCUGGUAGUGGGGGAUAACGUCCGGAAACGGGCGCUAAUACCGCAUACGUCCUGAGGGAGAAAGUGGGGGAUCUUCGGACCUCACGCUAUCAGAUGAGCCUAGGUCGGAUUAGCUAGUUGGUGGGGUCAAGGCCUACCAAGGCGACGAUCCGUAACUGGUCUGAGAGGAUGAUCAGUCACACUGGAACUGAGACACGGUCCAGACUCCUACGGGAGGCAGCAGUGGGGAAUAUUGGACAAUGGGCGAAAGCCUGAUCCAGCCAUGCCGCGUGUGUGAAGAAGGUCUUCGGAUUGUAAAGCACUUUAAGUUGGGAGGAAGGGCAGUAAGUUAAUACCUUGCUGUUUUGACGUUACCAACAGAAUAAGCACCGGCUAACUUCGUG